AUUCCAGUUGCUUACCCAGUUGCUCUCAGACUCGUUAAUGUGAGUGGGAAACACAGUGAACUUGACUGAAUAUUAAACCACGAGCAAGAGCACAAAGCAGAGGAUGUACACUCAACUCCAUGUACAGUGAGAAGCAGUGGAGAACUGAGGGCUGUGUCCUAGUGGAGCAAGUGCUGGAACAAGAAGCACGGUGUCGUCUUCCCUGGAGAGCUUCUUCCCAGGCCUGUGGAAAACACCUGUUGAAGAGAAUCAAAGCAACACUGUGGCAAAACAUGGAAUCAAGUGAUAGGACAUCCCUGCUAUGCAAACUGUGUUCAUCAGAUAUCUGGUCCAAUAAAAUUUCUUGGAUGCAAUGUAAAUAGUUGUGAUGGAAGCUAAAUCUUUCAUUUGCUCUUUAUAUUUACUGCCUUUUCUUUAGUUUAGUUUUCCUCUCUUUUCUUCCUUUGCAACUGUCAAGGAAGCAUCUGUGAGUUUUAUUAAACAAAUGUUACACAUUAAAAACCCAUUGCUGUCAGCCAGAAAGGAAAAUGGCAUCUUAUUUGAAAACAAUAUGUAAUUGUUACUGCUGCCUGUUAUGAGUUACACCCUUGAAAAAUGAUGAGGACUUAUUUAGUAGCAACUGAUGCUGAGGAAAAGCACUGAAACUAAAGCAGAAAACUGUUGCAUUAUCUUUGGGAAACAGAAUACUUGGUUUCAAACAACAUAGUACAAAUGCCCAGAAUAUUUUCAUCUUAGAUGUGUUUAUAGUCACUUCAAAGAGGAAGAGCAAGAAAAGUUUUCCAUGACACUUUUGUCUGCCCAUCUCAGUGUUACAACCAGUGAAUGCUCACCAUGGCCAACUGCACUGAAGUUCUAUAGAAGAGCUGUGCCACAGGGCAAAUAUCCUGGCCAUCACUCAUAUUUCAUUUCACACGCAGCCCCUGGGACAGUGAUGGGGACUCAAGUCUUGAUUUGCCAUUGCUUCUAUUAGCACUAACUGAUUUUAUUAGCAGGCCUCAUGCAAAUAUGACAAGAGCACGCCCACAGGUGCAACACUGAUAUAUUAUGUCUAAAGCAUAACUUUUA
rnacentral:lncRNA from 1 species